rnacentral:rRNA from 1 species
UACGGGGGGGGGCAAGCGUUGUUCGGAAUUACUGGGCGUAAAGGGCCAGUAGGCGGCCAACUAAGUCGGAUGUGAAAUCCCCAGGCUUAACUUGGGAACUGCAUCCGAUACUGGAUGGCUUGAAUCCGGGAGAGGGAUGCAGAAUUCCAGGUGUAGCGGUGAAAUGCGUAGAUAUCUGGAGGAAUACCGGUGGCGAAGGCGGCAUCCUGGACCGGCAUUGACGCUGAGGAGCGAAAGCUAGGGGAGCAAGCGGG